ensembl:lncRNA
AUGCUAUGACCCUUUAAAACUUCAACAUCCAUUUAUUGGGACAAAUAAACUCUGUAAUAAUGGCAGCAAAAUAAAUGACUGAGUGCACAGUAUGAGAAAACUGCAUAUACUGGAUGACUUGAAAGUCCGUAAAAGCAGCACAGAAGAAACAUAUGCUUUGGUGAAUCAGAGAACAAAGCACAUUGGUUAAUUCCAGAGGAACGGAUAGAGUUUAAAGAAAGACUGGUCUAUCUGGAAGCCAAAUUUUUAAGAGAAAGCCUUUGAAGCAGAGGUGACACUGGUUAGCAUGGCUCUAAGGUUUCUGAUGCAUCACCAAAUUCUGUUCCUGCUUAAUAGUAUGCAAGACCAAUGAAGUCAGUGCGCUUUUAAGUGUAACUGAGGAAAAAAAUAUAUAUUUCUGAGCUUUGCCUUUCUUCCUUUUUGAGGUCUCAGGAGCGGGUCUUCAUAAUGGCAGCAAUUCCCUGCCAAAUGUCCAGGGCUCCAGCGAGAGGAUGGAGAAAGGACCCAGCCCACAGAGUUACAUCAAUCCAUGGGGACCACCUGCCUGCAGCAGUCAAUAUUUCAGGUGGAUCCAUCCAUCUGUGGGAUACAGAUGGGGGAAUUAUUACAAAAUGGUAACCAAAUUGAGCUGACAAAUCUACCAGUGCACAGCUGGGAUCUGGAUAGAGCUACAGAUAGAUUUCAUCUUUCUGAAAACAUACGCCUCCAGAAGGGUUUUUUAAAAACAAACUGGGCUCUUCCGAGAAUCUUCACUUUGGAUUGAUGAUAAAGAUGCACAACCUCUUUGCCUUUUAAAGUCUACUCAUCAUUUGUCAAGGGAAGUAACAAGGAAAAUUUCCAGAGAAAACAUGAAAAGAUUUAU